UACAGAGGUCUCAAGCGUUGUUCGGAUUCAUUGGGCGUAAAGGGUGUGUAGGUGGCGCCGUAAGUCGGGUGUGAAAUUUCGGAGCUUAACUCCGAAACUGCAUUCGAUACUGCGGUGCUUGAGGACUGGAGAGGAGAGUGGAAUUCAUGGUGUAGCAGUGAAAUGCGUAGAGAUCAUGAGGAAGACCAGUGGCGAAGGCGGGUCUCUGGACAGUUCCUGACACUGAAACACGAAGGCCAGGGGAGCAAACGGG
rnacentral:rRNA from 1 species